AGCUCCAAUAGCGUAUAUUAAAGUUGUUGUGGUUAAAAAGCUCGUAGUUGGAUUUCGGCGGGUAGUGGUUGGGUUGAAAUGCUUUAAUACUGACUUUUUUACCCGGGUUUUUUGCCCGAAUCUUGCGGGUGAUCUUUACCGAUUGUUUUUUGGAACUGGCAGGUUUACUUUGAAAAAAUUAGAGUGCUCAAAACAAGCUUACUGCUUGAAUAGUUGCGCAUGGAAUAAUAGAAUAGGAAGUCGUUUCUAUUUUGUUGGUUUUCGGAAAUCGACGUAAUGAUUAAUAGGGACAGUCGGGGGCAUUCAUAUUCAAACGUCAGAGGUGAAAUUCUUGGACCGUUUGAAGAUGAACUAAGGCGAAAGCAUUUGCCAAGAAUGUUUUCA
rnacentral:rRNA from 1 species